CAUGGCUCAGAACGAACGCUGGCGGCAUGCCUAAUACAUGCAAGUCGAACGAGAUCUUCGGAUCUAGUGGCGCACGGGUGCGUAACGCGUGGGAAUCUGCCCUUGGGUUCGGAAUAACUUCUGGAAACGGAAGCUAAUACCGGAUGAUGACGUAAGUCCAAAGAUUUAUCGCCCAAGGAUGAGCCCGCGUAGGAUUAGCUAGUUGGUGGGGUAAAGGCUCACCAAGGCGACGAUCCUUAGCUGGUCUGAGAGGAUGAUCAGCCACACUGGGACUGAGACACGGCCCAGACUCCUACGGGAGGCAGCAGUAGGGAAUAUUGGACAAUGGGCGAAAGCCUGAUCCAGCAAUGCCGCGUGAGUGAUGAAGGCCUUAGGGUUGUAAAGCUC
rnacentral:rRNA from 1 species